UACGGGGGGGGGCAAGCGUUUGUUCGGAAUUACUGGGCGUAAAGGGCUCGUAGGCGGCCAACUAAGUCCGACGUGAAAUCCCCAGGCUUAACCUGGGAACUGCGUCGGAUACUGGAUGGCUUGAAUCCGGGAGAGGGAUGCGGAAUUCCAGGUGUAGCGGUGAAAUGCGUAGAUAUCUGGAGGAACACCGGUGGCGAAGGCGGCAUCCUGGACCGGCAUUGACGCUGAGGAGCGAAAGCCAGGGGAGCAAACGGG
rnacentral:rRNA from 1 species